rnacentral:rRNA from 1 species
CCUACGGGUGGCUGCAGUGGGGAAUAUUGCACAAUGGGGGGAACCCUGAUGCAGCGACGCCGCGUGGGUGAGGAAGUACUUCGGUAUGUAAAGCCCUAUCAGCAGGGAAGAAAAUGACGGUACCUGACUAAGAAGCCCCGGCUAACUACGUGCCAGCAGCCGCGGGAAUACGGAGGGGGCAAGCGUUAUCCGGAUUUAAUGGGUGUAAAGGGAGCGUAGACGGCGUGCCAAGUCUGGUGUGAAAGGCUGGGGCUUAACCCCGGGACUGCAUUGGAAACUGGCAUGCUGGAGGGGCGGAGGGGCAAGCGGAAUGCCUGGUGUAGCGGUGAAAUGCGUAGAUAUUAGGAGGAACACCGGUGGCGAAGGCGGCUUGCUGGACGGUAACUGACGUUGAGGCUCGAAAGCGUGGGGAGCGAACAGGAUUAGAUACCCCUGUAGUC